UAAUCUUCGAACGCUCCCAUUUCGUUUGAGCCGCCGCCUGUCAAGCAGAUCAAGCAUCAAACUUGUCGCCUCGUGUUUUUCAGUUUUCACCGAGGGGCAGUUCACUCCGCGUUAGAAAAACAAAACGCACCAGAACAAGCUCGAAAUUCUAGAACGCUAAGCAAGGCGACGAUUUUUUUCACAACGACGAUAGAAGGCAAGAUAAGGCCAACUAAGGCCCGUUAGCGCUCGUAGGGCGGCUUGCUUCUGCUCGAAUGUAGUGCUGCGAGAAAUCGAUCUUGCAACCUUGACAAACAACACGGUGUUUGUUUUUAUUUUUUCAAGCAGUUUGAUUGUCAAAAGUAAAAAAUCGAAAACGAAAUAAACAAGCAGAAUUAUUUUUUGAGUUUUUCCUGCGCGGAUCGAUGGCCAUUGCCGGAGGAACUGGAACAAGUGUCAGGAUAGCAGUCGAGGUUGCAACUGCCGCCGGAUGUUUGCCGCCGGAUGUUUGCAUUCGGCUGAAGAAUUGUGUUUCGCCAAGGUGCGGAAACUGAGACGCUCGGACAGCGGCACGUCGUGACGAGGUUUCCGAUUCCGUUGGAGAAACUGUUCCCGGAGCAAACGGCGUUGGCCAGGGCGUCACAUUACAACGCGAAUUCUGUUGUUUGGUGGAGGUGGAUAAAGGUUCUGAUCUGACGAACUUGAAACCUUUCUCGAAGGCACAAACAGAACAACCAAUCCUCCAACCGUCUUUCCACGAUUCUUGACCAUCGCGGCACCGCAACUCUACCUGUGCCAUCAAGUAUCGCGGUCGCGGCACACCCAGGCGGAGAAUAACGAAAAACGCAAAGAUGCCGAAUUCAUGCCGGUAAGGUGCGGGUUCCGGCGCAGAACUUGGUUUGCGGUCGUCGGCGUUUGAUGACCUGGGUGAUAACAGGCAGUGUGGGUGCUCAUCGCGUUUGGCCUAGUUUAGUAGGAUCCGGUUGGGCAGAUCAACAAGCUCGUUCCGCCCCGGUCCCAGCGCUGAUCCGCUGCGAGUCGGAACUGAUUCUGUUCAACGCCAGCGGAUCAGCGUCUACGGUGUUUUCUUCGCGAACCAUCCAGACCUGCUUCGCAUCCUAACCGAUACCGGCUUCAACCCGUAGCCCGCAUAGGAUAAGCUGCGGCACAUAGAGAAACGUUUCGUGGGCUACCCUUUGGAAAAGUUAGGGCUUUGGGUGUAGAGAAGGUUGCCGAAAGUUGUCAAUCUAAUUUCCUUGUAUUUAGUUUAGUUUAAUUUAAAAAAAGUAUUGUUAAUUGUAAAAAAAUAUAAAUGAAUGAAAUAUACAAGGGGAAGGGUUUGGGAUAGGCUGCUUAACUGGGAAACGGUUCUGUAAGGAUGGGUUUACCCUCCUCCCGGAAUGAUGACCGUUGCUAGUAUCGUAACGUAAUAGAUGUGACAGACGAUCUCUAUGAUGUGGUCCAUGGCGAAGAAAUGAGUGUGCCGUUUCAGAUCGGACCAUAAACGACAGCUGCGGACAUUCUUACUGGGCCGUUUCAGGAAGGCUUCUUUGACACCGCCACCAGACAUGGAGAAAACGACCUGCGAAUGAUCUGGUGGAUCAGGAAGUUUUGCUAGAGCAUUCAGAAUUUAGUAGAUUGAGCAUUUCCUUGUAGUGGAGGGGACAAGUGUAGGGCUUGUUUUCCUCGUGGGUUAGCAGGUUCCGCUUGAGGUUCGUCCAGGUGGGGAAGAUGUUAACUUUUUCAAGUUUGAGCCGGGUGUUUUUCGGUGUGCGACGUUUUGGUGUAGUUUUUCUUUCCAACAUCCACCCGUCCCGUUGUAGCUUGACCAAACAAUGAUCCUCCUGGAUGACCGCGACGACCCAUCACUUUUACAACUACCGUCAUCAGGGGUGACAUUGGGUCUGGGGGGGUGAGAUUGGGUGAUACAAAUUUCAGCAUUUUUGUAUGACCCAAUCUCAGACAAAAUGAUGACGGUACUGUUUCAGCUCCGGAUUUCUUAAUCGCUGUUCAACCUACUGCUUGCCCGGAAUCGUACACAUCGACACGGAUUCGGAGAAUGGACCGCGGUCUUGCGCUAGGUCGGAAGGAACGAGAUUCUGCCGAGAGAUAUUCUGCUGUGAAGAUCAACAACUUGAUAACCGGUUUCGGAAAGUGGGUUCUGGCAAGGCUAAUGUGUAAAUUUAGUCGGUUGCUUCAGAUAACCAUCUAAAUAUUUAUUUUUAUUUAAAAUUUAAAACAGCUUUUGCUUUUUUCCAUCAAAACAAACUGCCCGAUUAAAUUUACUGCUAGAACUGUCAUUUGCACUUGACAGUUCUCGUUGUCAAAAAAAAUCGAGCAGUUUGACGUGCAACCGCUUCGGAAGGCUAACCAAAAGGAGUGCUAACGCGCGUUAAGGCUUGAAAAGGCACACAAAAGGAGGAAAGUCUUUAAAAAGAGAGUAGCGAACCCAGUAAGGUGCAAAAAUAAACUUAAACGCUCGACAAAGGCGGAAGUGAGCUACCCCUCGGUUUUCACCGAUUUUCAAAGUUUGGCCCGAGGGAGAUGACACUUCCGCGUUGACCGAGCGAUAAAGAUUCCUUUGCUAACCUUUUCAGCGUUCACUUUUACCUUUCCGCUUUUUCAUGCUUUAACUUGCGAUAACCGCGUUAACUCGCGUUUUCGUUUACCUUUUCUUGCGUUUUCGCAUCACACUGCUCGAUUUUUUUGACAGCGAGAACUGUCAAGAGCAAAUGACAGUUCUCGAUGUCAAAUCAGUCGAGCAGUUUGUUGAAAAAAAUUUUCUCCGUCGCCGGACUAGAUCGUCGAUUUAAAAAAAACGGGGGCACCCGGACAGGAGUAAGCAGGACACUGCGGCCCGGCUUUAGCAUGUUGGCAGCAUCCGGACAGAACGGCAGCAACUGCAACCUGAAAGAUCGGCAUUGUUUACCGUCCGCUAAAAAAAUUAAGAAAUACUAAUUCACGCGUUUUGUCUUGUGUUUUGCAUAAAUCCGGUCGCUGUAGUACGUUGCGGACCCGGGAGAAGUGGAGUUCCGGCCCUGUGGUCGCUUUUCGGUGAAAUUGAUCGUGUCGCAGAUUGAGGUUAGGAUGAACGGAUCCGACCGACGCUCGAUCAAUUCCAAAGGUGGAAUGAACGGCAGGUCGACGAACUCCGAAACGGCGAAUUCCAGCGUCUCACAGCAGUUGCAGGAGAUUUACGCAAAGCUGCAAAAGCUGGACGACCUGGAAAAGCUAAGCAAGGACCUCCUUGGGAAGCUGCUGCAGCUUGCGCAUCGGAUCGACGUCGUCUCCGCUGAAAACCUGCUGAAAUGGGGAAUCUAGGAACUGCGGCAAGAUCGGUUGCAUGAGGAAAGGAAGUCCUUAUCAAGGGAAAAAUGUUGGAACGUCCGAAUCAACACCUGGAGGUGUUCCGUGGUGUCUGCGAGCGCGCUGGGUUCAACGCGCCGGACGACGUGAAAGAGGUGCGCCUUCAAGAAAAACAAACGUACUCACGCCGUGCUGGUGAAGUUCUGGAGGGUCGAGGACAAAGGUCGGUUCAUUCGGUGCAUCCUCAAGAACCCAUUGCGCCAUGAGACGGACCAGACGGAUUCGAAAAAAAAAGUUGUACGCGUACUUGAUUGCUCAGUCGCUGCAAUUGAUUGCACGAGACGGAAAUCUACCCAGCAACUGUUCUACCGGCUGAAACACAAAUCUGUCUGCUGUGGAGGAAGCGUCUACAGCAAGAGUGUCGGUAGCGCUAUGAGAGUUUUCCCAGAACGCAGUUGGAUUUCUUUUGAAACAAGUUCUAUUUUUAAGUAUAUUUAUAAGUAGCAUUACAGUCUCUUUUACAGUUCAUGUUGAUAAAGUAUUCUAACUAUAUUUAAAACUCAUCUGACUAGUAGUUUUGUUCAUCUUAAAAGAAACAAUCAUCUUUUCGUUAAAUUUAUGCUCCAGCAGCAUGAUCCGGCAUGAUCCGGCUGUCCGGCCAUCGCUGCA